UGUGACAGAAACAAAAAUGCAAGGCAAGUUGGGCAUCCAAACGCAGUGUAACGCAAACGACAAUAAAAAACGCAUAGCCAACAUCAAAAGGCAAACAGCAACAGCACCACAGGAAAACGCCGACAGUUACAACCAAGCGCUCCUCCAAACAACUCAAAACGAUGGCCAAAACGCAGAAGCAAAACCAAAAUCACUUUUCCUGCAUAAUCACUUUCAAAUCACUAAAUGCAGAAGCUUUCUAACAAACUAACAAAACUUAACAGAUAUGCAGAAUUUUCAGGAAGAAUUAUUAACCGAGUAUCACUUCGAAUGCGCAAAAAAUAUAUAAGUGGAUUUUCUAAUUAAGCAUAGCAGAAAAUGGAACUUCGCUAACAGUCUAUGGGGAAUACCAUUCCACUGUAAAUCUUCAUUUCAUUUAAUUUGGAUUUUAACUAACUAGUGAAUUCCUACCUAACUAGUGAAUUACAGUAGAAUUUCAGUUGAAUUUGACAUGAAUUUGAGAGCAGAUUUGAACCGUAUAAAACCACUUCCAUACUUCAGUUCAACAGAGAUUUGGGGGGAGAGGGAAGAACAGUUCUUCACGUUCAUCAAAGUGCAGAAUCCACAGUUGCCCAUACAGAUUUUUUCCAUUCAAUUCUUUGCACAUUCUACACGGAUUCAGAAGAUUUCUUCAACCAUAAUCCAUUCGUAUCCCCGAUCAUUCUCGCAAUGAUCCGUAACUUUCAGAACCGCUCGAAUCCGUAACGCAUCGAAAUCAAACCGGAGAAGAAGAAGAAAGAUCAACCGAGAAUCAAACCGGAGAAGAAGAAGAAAGAUCAACCGAGAAUCAAACGAAGAAGUCCAAUACCUGUUGAAUCCGGUAAGUCUUAACUUAAUAGUAAUUAUUUGCAUCAAGAAAAUGUAGGUUUGCAGUGAUUCUUUAGUUGGAGACAUAAUUCAUAUUGCAUACUAGUUAGUUGUUUGUGGAUCCGAAUCAGGCUGUGAGAACCACAAAAUUAAGGAAUAAUGGAGACAUUAGAAUGUCAAUAUAUUUUUGAAUUUAAUUAAUACUAAAAUUAGACCGCGUAUGAUUAAUUAAUACUAGCAUGCCAAGUGUGGUGUGAGCCCGAAUGGGGGUUGAAGUGAAUUGUGAUUCGUUUAGGCCUGAAGAGGCCCAUGACCAAUUUUGUCUUUGCAUCUUCCUAGGGGGCGCAAAUUCAUGUGGGUGAAAGUAAAAGAAUAUUCGUUUGGAUCUAAGGCCCAAAUCCAACCCUCCAUGGCCAAAUGAUGUUGAUUAUCUUGCUGAAAGGGGAUGGCGGUCAACACAGAAUCCAAACGCAAGAGCAGUGGAAAUGAGAAACAAGUCAAAGCCAAUCUCGUGAGGGAUGACCUUCUCCGCCGUGCGCCCGCCUCCGAUCGCCGGUGUUAACACUGAGCAUCAUGUGUCAUUGCAUCAUGUUCCCACAACAUCAGUUGUGACGUCGCACCUCCGUCGCUUCAAGGUCUUCCGGAUUUUAUGUACCGGUGUCAAAUCCCCUUCGUGUUCAUCCAGGAAAUGGAGUAUUUAGAUCGUACACGAAUAAAGCAACAACUUGUGCACCGACUAACCUCACCGCCAUUAACGCUUUGACAAUGAAACAUUGGGAUUUGUUUCCGUCUUGCACCAACAGUCGGGAAUGUCGAUGAAUGGAACCGAUUUCCUUCUCCGUGAUGAACUGGAAACAAUGAUGGACCCGUGGUAUCUGGAUAAAUUCGGUUGCACGCAGAGUCAAAAAAAGAAAAGAAUGGUGAAUGAGGAACCUACCGGAUGUAUGAACCGUAUGCGUUGCCGUUAAAGAUGACAAUGUUGCUUCCAGAUUUACGCGUGGAUUUCAGAGGUUUUUGGCGCGUGAAGAAGUCUUGGCUACAGAAUCCAGUGAGAUCCGGUUGCGGUGUUCCGUUACAGAAUGGAGAUGUAAAAUCCAGAAUGAGGAGGAAGAGGAUGAUUGAGGAAAAAAAUGAAUAUGAUUGAAAAGGUUGAAGAAGAUGAGGGAGAAAGUGCAGAAAUGAAGAUGGUGAAUCUAAAUAGAAUCAAGAAGAAUUGAAGAAGCGAAACAAGGGUUGAAGCUUCUGUUAUCAUGGAUGGUUCGAAAAAAUGCAGGUGCUUUUGAACUUGGAUGCGCAAGCCUCGUCGUUUACUGCGUUCUGCAUUUCGCAUCUUCACAUGUACUUGGUGUUGCAAGCGUUUUAUGUUGUGUAAGCCGCGUACUGCAGCUUGAAUUCCAAUUGCAUUGCUUUCAUCUUGUACUUUUCUUCUGCAUUUCAACUGUUCACCUCUUGGUUUGGACAUGACUUAAUACAUGGAUGAGGAUUAAUGGGUUAA